CCUACGGGAGGCUGCAGCAAGGAAUUUUCGGCAAUGGGGGCAACCCUGACCGAGCAACGCCGCGUGCGGGAUGACGGCCUUCGGGUUGUAAACCGCUUUUCGGGAGGAAGACAUCGACGGUACUCCCGGAAUCAGGCUCGGCUAACUCUGUGCCAGCAGCCGCGGUAAGACAGAGGAGCCAAGCGUUGUCCGGAUUGACUGGGCGUAAAGCGUACGCAGGCGGCGCGGCGCGUGGGGUGUGAAAGCGGCAGGCUUAACUUGCCGAGGCCACCUCAUACGGCCGUGCUCGAGCCCGAGAGAGGUCCGUGGAAUUGCCGGUGUAGUGGUGAAAUGCGUAGAGAUCGGCAGGAACACCCAGGGGGAAACCAGCGGACUGGCUCGGUGCUGACGCUCAGGUACGAAAGCGUGGGGAGCGAACUGGAUUAGAUACCCUGGUAGUC
rnacentral:rRNA from 1 species